UUUCACCCAAAACAAUUUACCAAAUAUCUACCAAAAAAAUAAUAAAUGUGUUAAAUUGUGUUUAGCAAUUAUAAAGUGGUUGAUACUAUAUUAUAUGAUUUUCCUGUGUCGAAAUAAGCAUGGUAUUUUAAAGCGAGGUAUUUGAAAGGUAUUUACUUACUUUGAGUAUUUGGGACUCUUUGAGGCAAAGAUAUGACCACAAGCAUUUGACAUGAAAAAGAGAAGCUCAAAUGAUUCAAACGGUACAGCUGGAGCAGAGCCAAAAUGAACAAGAAAAGAAGGAAGGCACCUCUGAGGCUGCUACAUGGAGGAAGGAAACACCAGAGGAAAAGAUUUGCUUCAUGAAGAAAUGGCCUCACACUGAUGAUAAUCUGGAAAUUAAGCCAUCAGCCAGAUUAAUAGAAGCCUGGAGGUUCUCUGACGAGCUUGUGGAAUAACAAAGCCAGUUUUUAUUGUGGAAGUUAUCAGACCGCAGCUAACUGGGAGCAGUGAUUGAUUUCAGCAAGACUUGAACCAAGGAAACCAGGUCUAUUCUGCCCCGGACUGGAGCACAUCAUCUAAGGCAGUUCUGAGCACUGAAGGGAAAUCAUAUUGAAGAUUUCAACCUUGAAGUUAAUUGCGAAGUUUGCUGCAGACGGCGAAUGUUUCAAAGAGACGAAAAGCCGCAGAAGCAGAAGGAGAGUAAGCCGGUGGACUCUGCACAAAAGGCAAGCGGUGCAGACACUGCUGCUCUAACUUCAAAGGGCAGCAGACACGAGGUC